rnacentral:snRNA from 1 species
GUUGCUUUUCGGGAACAUCCAAUAAAUUGGAUCUAUACAGAGAAGAUUAGCAUGGCCUUGCGCAAGGAUGACACGCACAAAUCGUGGUCCAAAUUUUCUUUUA